rnacentral:lncRNA from 1 species
CACCCAAAACAUUCCAGUCUUUCCUUUCUUGCCACUUGAGAGGGGGGUUGUUUAUUGACAUUAUGCAAGUGCUGAAAUAUUUUUCUUUUUCUUCUCUCCCGCCCCUUUUUAGCUUUCUCCCCCUCUGUCCUCUGGGGGUUGCAAAGGUAGUUCAAACCCCUCCAGUCAUGUCGGCUUAUCAGCCAAAGGAGAUGCAUUCCUCUGGGCUGCUCCCUUUAUAAGUCACUGCUGGCCGGGCGCCCGCUCGCCGCUCCGCAGCACUCCGCGCCAGCAGCGCUGCCUGCUGCCCCGCCAUGCCCUAGCCCGGGCCCCCGGACCCGCUCGCCCACGGGGGGACGCGCAGCAACCCGGGGGAGGGCCGGCGGCGAUGGCACCCCCGUCCCCCGCCCGCCCCUGAGGGCGGCUGCUGCCGGGAUGUUCAGCUGGCAGCGGAGCUUCACCCUAGGAGCGCCCUGGAGGAGAGCAGGUAAGAAGAGCCCACCUGCUGAGGACAAAGUUGUGUUAACACAUAUGAAGAUAUUGAGCAAUGAAGGAGUUCAAAACCCAGGGUUAAUCACAGAGGCUUCAGCUGACACAGCCUGCACAGAAGAGUCCCAUCUCCCUGGUGCCAGCUUCCCACCGGCCUGCCAGGGAAAUCCGAAUGCAGCAGCCGAACCAGCAGAUCCAGACUAUGCAGAUGCCCCAGCAAGCACAGACUAUGUAGCCACGCUACCUGACCUCAGUGCCUUCCAGUCCAAGUGCCGACUUCACAGAUUCUCCAAAUUCGAAUCUGAGGACUCAGGGGUUGAAUUGCCAAGUGGGGCUAAUUCUCCAUCAACACCAACGGGUUCAGAGAAGAGCUUUGUGCUUCACAGCAGAGACUCAUUUUGUGACUCAGGUGUGCUUAGCACUUCUUCUUCUCCAGAAAUUGACCAUCUGGUAAUGAGAACAUGUAAAGAGCAUGCCAGAAAAGUCAGCCACCAAGAUCCAGAGAGCAAAAAGCAAGCUGAGUACUACAGCCAGGAGGCAGAUGCUGUGCAGGGUCCCACAGCUUCCCUUGGAGACUUAAGUGUCCCUCAGGAAGAAAGUCCAGAUGAACAUUUUGACCAGAGCGAAAAUCAAUCUCUGGAAAAGGAACCCACCCCAGAGAUGGACCCUGCAAGGGAAAGCACUCUUCACACCCCAGGUCCCAUAGAAGAGCCAAAGACAGUUGCUGACAAUUUCCCAGAGAACUUUGGCAGCAUGCAAGACCUCCAGAUCCAUGGACAUCAGCUGAAGAAGUACCCCACAAGUGACAGUCUAGAUGAGUACAUGGAUAAAUGCUGUAGGCUGAGUGAGGUGAACCAAGGUAACAGCAAAGCCCUAGGAUCUGGUCUGGGAUACCUGGAACACAUUUGCCAACUGAUUGAGAAGAUUGGGCAGCUGCAGGAGCACAACAUGCAUCUCCAAAAGCAAGUGUGCAGCUUGCAGAAAGAGCAGAAGAUAAGCCAGAUAAAAGAGGAGUACGUUCUGCAGCAUUGCUCCUGUGGAGCUGCUAGCAUCCUCAACUCACACCAAGACGUGAAGACAUCUUUUGCUGGGAGGAACAGACCUCACAGCCUCUUGGUUCAGACUGGAAACCCAUCUGAUCUUUCCAUCAUCCCAGAAAUAGGAGCGAACACUGAAAAGCUGAGCAGCUGCAAUGGAAGUGAGAGAUACCUGGAAUCAGGAAACAGCCAACCGAUGGUGGGGCUCAGGAAGUUGUCAAACAAUAGGAACAACAAGGAGAAUGAGUACAGAGAAGCUGGUAGUAUGACUGAGGUACAGGCUUUUCCUUCAAAGGACCCUGCAGUAAGAAAGGGUCUGGACGUCAGCAAGAACAUCUCGGGUGAGAGCCAUGCUUGGGGAAGAAUGAAAGAUCUUAUGAGGAAGACACGUCUGAGAAACCAGAACAAGCUGGGGCUGUCCUCUGCUGCUCUGAAGAGGUCCUGUCCACAGUUGUACAGGCCAGAUAUUAUGUCUUCAGAGCUGAGGAAAACUGAGAGGAACUCCAUGAUCAUUCUGGGGCAAAAUACAAAGAAUGAAAACAUAUGGCCUUUCUGAUAACCUGAGCUAAAUAGAACAAGGUAAAAUAAGUAAAGCAGCAUGCGUUUCUUUGUGGGGUGGAGGGGUUUUUUUGCCUCUUCUCAGCACAGAAAUGAGACAGUCCUGUUCCUUCAUCCAGACACACUCCAACAUGAAAGGGCAAAAACAUGUCAGAUUUUUGAAGUUCAAAUUAUAUGGAUUCAUGCCAGCUGAGGAUUGGCCCAUAUACCUUCAUUUUAAUAGUCACCCUUUGGAAAAAAAAAAAACAAACAAACAAACCCAAACAACCAAAACCAAACACAAAACACAAUUUAAAGGUAUCCGUAGUCAUACAGGCUACAUCAUGCAGUCUUUUUGUAAGAAGUACAGCAGCAAAUUCUUCUAUCUGCAGUCAGUUAAAAGACUCCCAAAUAAUAAGCCAACCAGGUGUCUUGGGAAAGAGAUAAUUUGCCCAUAAUCAAGACUAAAAGAGAACCAGGCUCAGCCUCAUCUUCCGUCUUCCCAACUCAGCCCAUGGGUUAAAUACAGAGAAACUUUCUAGUCUCUCAUAUUCACUGGAUGUUUCUGUUUCAGAAAGGCAAAAUGGGAACACCAGUGGACACAAACCCAAGAACCCCACGGUUACUUUGUGCAACCUGCAUCCUGUAGUUGUCAACAGAGCAACCCCGAUUUGAGCAUUGGAAGGGAAAGAGAGAAGGGGGAAGUAGAGAAGGGUGCACGGACCUUUCUGUGCUCAGCUAUGUACAGCUUUGCUCCCAAAUCUGAAAUAUACUCAGAAAAGUCAAGCCACAGAUGAAAAUUAUUGUUAGCAUCUUGGCAAUGUAAACAAUAGAGAUUUGGAAAUUCUUCCUCCUCCUCUCUGGGUCAGGAACACCAUUACUUGAAACAUUGAAGCUUUUAAAUUAUCAUUGCUUUCUGGAGACCUUCUCCAGCUGAAAUAAAUUUAAGCUUUAUGGGACACAGCAGCAUGUAGAAGGGUGCCAGGGACUCAUUGCCCAGUGCAGAAGUGCCUGUUGGAAGGACAGCUUCCUCUCGGGGUGGGCUGAGUGGCAGUCUCUGUGUGUCCCCAACGCCGCUCCUCCCUUCAGAGCAGCAUCUGACCAGCUGUGCCAUUUUACUGGAAUCUAACAGGAAAACCAAGUCUGUAAAGCCAAGACUUCCUACAAGGCCAUUCCUGAAUCCACCACUAGCUUCUAAUCCUGCAAGCCUGCUCUUUCUACAGAGGCCCCUCAAAUACAGUGCUGCCCUACAGGCAUCAUGCAGGUUCAUUGAAGAGACCAGACUGAGGAGCACUGUGGGAAUUAGCCUUUAAAGAGGCCAGAGGGUUCAUCUGAGGCAAUACCUCAGUUUCACCAGGCAGCCCAGCUCUUAUGCUAUCAGUUUUUUUGGGGGGAGGGAACCAGGCUUGAAUUCCUACUUUUAAAUUACAUGUUAAGUCCUCUGGCUGUGCAGGUAGGGUAGUCAUUUUGUCAAAUGGCUCAGUCUAUGCUCUCUCUACUGGAGAGAGGCAAGAGGGAGCACAGAGCUGCAAGGAAGAGUUAUUAAAAUACAGGCAUCCUUUACAAGUUGCUGGUCUUUAGGGCCCUGCUAGCAAUCAUGUAACACUGUGGCCAUGUUUGGUGACUGCCUUAUAGCCCCGUGCCCACUGAUUCCAGACUCAAUGAGCAGAUAGUGCAUGCUUCUGAAGGUCCCAUGGUUGCAGUGGUCUCUGCACACCAGCUCGUACUGGUAUUAGCACAAUAAUUAAUGCACAUAGAGCAAAGAUUUAAAUAAACCAACUUUGCCUCUUGUAAAUAGAGUAUUCUACCCCUUAAAUUACAAUGUAACUGGAAGUCAAGCAAUUGCUCUUUGAAAAUCCUUUCCUAACCCAAACUUGCCUGGGAACCAAGAUUUGAGAAGCUGGCAGGAAUGGAUCAACUUCAGCAGGCUUAGCCUUUCAGUAACACAUGCUUCCCCCUUGCCUACUGGGAUCAGCUGGAGCCCUAAAAGUCUGCCAAACCUGAGCAGGAUCUCUUCUGAGAUUCAGAGCUCUCCAGCCACACAUCCAGGCAGCAGGCCAGGCUUGGUGUUUCAAAUAGCAGAAGGGUUGUUACUUAGCACCUCAAAAAAUACCCCCCGAACAACAACAAAAAUAAAACAACCCCCCCACCAACCAACAGCCCCAAAAAAACCCAAACCCAACCAAACCAAAAACCACCCACCUAAUUAAAAAAUCCAAAAGGUCUGUGCUACCUAAAAUACGUGCUGCGUUUAAUACUUCAGUUGUAGCUGCUGCAGGACUUGUUCACUGUGUAUCUUGCUAGCUUCAUCCAAAGCUAGAAGGAUUCAUAACUUGAUUAUUCUGUGAAUAGUCUGUAUAUCUCCAUAAAUACAGGGGACUAAAAUCCUCCAUUAACUUAUACCCUCCAUUAUCCCUCCAGCUUUACAGAGUCUGUAAGGAAUGUGAAUCAGUGCAAACUGAAUUUUAAGUGUUCUAAGAUGUAGCACCAUGAACUGCUAUUUCCAGCCACCACCAUUCACAUUAUAAGUCUAUUUUGUUUUUUAUUUUUACUAAAAUGAACUAGCACUCUUUUUUACUAUAGCAUUAUAUGAAAUAUAUUCAUGUAUUUUCAGAAAUAAAUAUAUUUAUAACAUGUAACAUACUGUAUAGUUCUCCAUUACAGAAUGCAUUGUAAUACAAGCAUAAAAAAUUUAAUAAAAGCAUCACUACAAUAAUUGUUUUCAGAUAUUAAUGAAUCCCUGGAUGGCAGCACAGCAGCUGCCACACAUUUAAAGUUUCAGGUGAGCACAGCU